GACGAACGCUGGCGGCGUGCCUAAUACAUGCAAGUCGAGCGCAGGAAGUCGACGGAACCCUUCGGGGGGAAGUCGACGGAAUGAGCGGCGGACGGGUGAGUAACACGUAAAGAACCUGCCCUCAGGUCUGGAUAACCACGAGAAAUCGGGGCUAAUACCGGAUGGGUCAUCGGACCGCAUGGUCCGAGGAUGAAAGGCGCUUCGGCGUCGCCUGGGGAUGGCUUUGCGGUGCAUUAGCUAGUUGGUGGGGUAAUGGCCCACCAAGGCGACGAUGCAUAGCCGACCUGAGAGGGUGAUCGGCCACGCUGGGACUGAGACACGGCCCAGACUCCGACGGGAGGCAGCAGUAGGGAAUCUUCCACAAUGGACGAAAGUCUGAUGGAGCAACGCCGCGUGAACGAUGAAGGCCUUCGGGUCGUAAAGUUCUGUUGUAAGGGAAGAACAAGUGCCGCAGGCAAUGGCGGCACCUUGACGGUACCUUGCGAGAAAGCCACGGCUAACUACGUGCCAGCAGCCGCGGUAAUAC
rnacentral:rRNA from 1 species